AGACGUCUACAUUAGAUACCCCCGUAGUCCCAGCCGUAAACUAUGCGCGUUAGGUGUAUCGGUGACCACGAGUUACCGAGGUGCCGAAGGGAAACCGUGAAACGUGCCGCCUGGGAAGUACGGUCGCAAGGCUGAAACUUAAAGGAAUUGGCGGGGGAGCACCACAACAGGUGGAGCCUGCGGUUUAAUUGGACUCAACGCCGGACAACUCACCGGGAACGACAGCAAUAUGUAGGCCAGGCUGAAGACCUUGCCUGAAUCGCUG
rnacentral:rRNA from 1 species